AACGCACAUUGCGCCCUCUGGUAUUCCGGGGGGCAUGCCCGUUCGAGCGUCAUUUCACCAAUCAAGCCUGGCUUGGUGUUGGACCCGGGGGUGACCCGGGUCUCGAAAUCGUCGGCCGCAAAGCUCCGAUCGCAGCGUCGUGAAUCAAUUCGCUGGUCGAGACGAGCGGGGCGCGCCGGUAAACCUUCUCGCAGGUUGACCUCGGAUCGGGUAGGGAUACCCGCUGAACUUAA
rnacentral:misc_RNA from 1 species